GACGAACGCUGGCGGCGUGCUUAACACAUGCAAGUCGAACGAAGAGCGAUGGAAGCUUGCUUCUAUCAAUCUUAGUGGCGAACGGGUGAGUAACGCGUAAUCAACCUGCCCUUCAGAGGGGGACAACAGUUGGAAACGACUGCUAAUACCGCAUACGAUCUAAUCUCGGCAUCGAGGAUAGAUGAAAGGUGGCCUCUACAUGUAAGCUAUCACUGAAGGAGGGAAUUGCGUCUGAUUAGCUAGUUGGAGGGGUAACGGCCCACCAAGGCGAUGAUCAGUAGCCGGUCUGAGAGGAUGAACGGCCACAUUGGGACUGAGACACGGCCCAGACUCCUACGGGAGGCAGCAGUGGGGAAUCUUCCGCAAUGGACGAAAGUCUGACGGAGCAACGCCGCGUGAGUGAUGACGGCCUUCGGGUUGUAAAGCUCUGUUAAUCGGGACGAAAGGCCUUCUUGCGAAUAGUGAGAAGGAUUGACGGUACCGGAAUAGAAAGCCACGGCUAACUACGUG
rnacentral:rRNA from 1 species